rnacentral:rRNA from 1 species
CAGUAGCCGCGGUAAAACGGAGGAUCCAAGCGUUAUCCGGAAUCAUUGGGUUUAAAGGGUCCGUAGGCGGUCUUGUAAGUCAGUGGUGAAAGCCCAUCGCUCAACGGUGGAACGGCCAUUGAUACUGCAGGACUUGAAUUAUUGGGAAGUAACUAGAAUAUGUAGUGUAGCGGUGAAAUGCUUAGAGAUUACAUGGAAUACCAAUUGCGAAGGCAGGUUACUACCAAUUGAUUGACGCUGAUGGACGAAAGCGUGGGUAGCGAACAGGAUUAGAUACCCCAGUAGUCCCUGUCUCUUAUAA